UUCAGCGUUGCCAAUAUUGUCUCUUUUUCCAUUCCUUUAUUUCAUGAUUAGGGAUUUUAAUAUUGCAAAAACAGAGGAAGAUAUUGGCUACUAUGUUGGUUAUGUGGGGUCUUCAUUUAUGCUUGGAAGAGCUUUG